AGGUCUCACUGGAUACUUGAUAUCCCUGAAGGGUCGUUGGAGACUACAACGUUGAUAGGCUGGGUGUGGAAGUACGGUAACGUAUGAAGCUAACCAGUACUAAUUGCCCGUGAGGCUUGACCAUAUAACGCCCAAGUAUUUAGG
rnacentral:rRNA from 1 species